rnacentral:sRNA from 1 species
UUGUGCCUAUAAACCUUAUACAACUUUCAGCAACGGAUCUCUUGGCUCUCGCAUCGAUGAAGAACGCAGCGAAAUGCGAUAAGUAAUGUGAAUUGCAGAAUUCAGUGAAUCAUCGAAUCUUUGAACGCACCUUGCGCUCCUUGGUAUUCCGAGGAGCAUGCCUGUUUGAGUGUCAUUAAAUUCUCAACCAUUAUCAACUUUUGCUGAUAAUGGCUUGGAUGUGGGGGUCUAUUUUGCUGGCUUCUCAGAUAGUCAGCUCCCCUUAAAUGCAUUAGCCGGUGCCCCGCGUGGACUGUCUAUUGGUGUGAUAAUUAUCUACGCUAUAGACAUCUGCAAUCAUAUGGGUUUGCGCUGCUUCUAACAGUCUGUUGAUUCAGACAAUACAUGACAAUUUGACCUCAAAUCAGGUAGGACUACCCGCUGAACUUAAGCAUAUCAAUAAGCGG